GACGGAGGGGGCGAGUGUUGUCCGUCAUGACUGGGCGUAAAGGGUGCGUAGGCGGCGCGGUAAGUCGGGUGUGAAAUCUCGGGGCUUAACUCCGAAACUGCAUUCGAUACUGCCGUGCUUGAGGACUGGAGAGGAGACUGGAAUUUACGGUGUAGCGGUGAAAUGCGUAGAUAUCGUAAGGAAGACCAGUGGCGAAGGCGGGUCUCUGGACAGUUCCUGACGCUGAGGCACGAAGGCCAGGGGAGCAAACGGG
rnacentral:rRNA from 1 species